CCUACGGGAGGCAGCAGUGGGGAAUAUUGCACAAUGGGGGAAACCCUGAUGCAGCGACGCCGCGUGAGGGAAGAAGUAUUUCGGUACGUAAAGCUCUAUCAGCAGGGAAGAAAAUGACGGUACCUGACUAAGAAGCCCCGGCUAACUACGUGCCAGCAGCCGCGGUAAUACGUAGGGGGCAAGCGUUAUCCGGAUUUACUGGGUGUAAAGGGAGCGUAGACGGCAACGCAAGUCUGGAGUGAAAUCCCAUGGCUUAACCAUGGAACUGCUUUGGAAACUGUGCAGCUAGAGUGCAGGAGAGGUAAGCGGAAUUCCUAGUGUAGCGGUGAAAUGCGUAGAUAUUAGGAGGAACACCAGUGGCGAAGGCGGCUUACUGGACUGUAACUGACGUUGAGGCUCGAAAGCGUGGGGAGCAAACAGGAUUAGAUACCCCGGUAGUC
rnacentral:rRNA from 1 species